rnacentral:lncRNA from 1 species
AUGUUGCUGGAGUGGCUGUCCUUCCCCUACCUCUUCAUACAGAUGAGACAAAAGACCCAUACCACAGGCUUGAGUUUGCCUUUGCAGCUCCGCCUUCCCCCACGUCUUCUCUGCAACCCUUUGGAGCUGGAGCUGCAGCAUGUCGGUGUGGAGCUUAAAGAUUCCCCCAGAAGUUCAGAGGGAAGACUGAAAUUGAAAUUAAACCUAAAUUAUGACUUUAUGGUCUAAAAGGUAAACUUAAGCAACUGAAAAUUAAGUAUAGACUUUAACUGCUCAUUUUCAAUUUGAAAGCCUUCCCCCCCCAUGUCAAUCCUAUCAAGCCUAUGCCACACUUUAGAGAAACAAGAGGAGAGGGAGCUCUUAACAGCUUAGAAUGGAAGUGUCACUGAUGGAAAGGAGCUGGGCUGGGAGCCCGAGUUAAUCUAGCAACAUCAGCCUCACCUUCUCCAGUGUCUUCCUUCAGCAACUAGAGAUUUGACUUCCGCGGAACAACCCCAUUGUGUACCAGCACAACCCAACUCCUCAUCAUGCGUUAUAGUCCCAGCACAGGAGUGGUGCUUGAGUUGCUUGAAAGCUUUGGGAGGCUCCAGAAUGACAAGUCAAAUGUCUCUGCAUAUGAAGUAAGAAGAUACAGCGUGCAGUUAAUCUUUGGGACAGGCUAAGAGUAGUCCAAAUGAGCUAAAUUCAUGUUCUUCAGUUUAGAACCUUAUUUAGCACAAUAAGAAAUUAUAAAAGUAAAAAUCUAUGUUCAUUAUGUGAGCUAGAGGAGAUGAUAUGGAAAGUCAGGAAUGGAAAUGAAAAAACAGAAUAACUUGUUUAUCCUUCUUUUAAAAAGUAAAAUUUCCAGAUUUUAGCUACAAAGAUAAAGUUCACAGUCUUCCAGCCCAGCCGCUGUACUUUUCUGGGAAUUGAGAAACACUAUAUAAAGAACUUGGUGUUAUAAUUAAAUUUCUCUUUCACACAACUUCAGUUUCCAUCUAAAACGACUCCCAGUUCAGCAUUUCAUGUAAAAUCAGAGGAGCCAGGUGCUUCAGAAUUGCUGUGGCUGAACUGGACAGAGAAUAUUAUGUUUUUCUCUUAAAUGUAAUCAGUGAUGCCUCAGAAGCAGUUGACAUCCUUUUAAGUUUUUUAUUUCACUUAAAAUGGUAAAAAUCCCUUCAAUUUUCUUAUCUCUAAUAGUUUCUUAAACUUUUGUCUAUUUAUAAUUCUGAAUAAAAUUCAGAAACAGCUAAUUAGUGUAUAUGGA